AACAUUUUAUUGCUAGUUUGACAAUUAUCUGAGGAGUUAGCAUUGCAGGUCGGAAGGGAAAAGGCAAUGUCGAUAAUAAUAGUUUUUGUGGGGAACCAAUUGUGUUUAAAACUCCUACAGGCUCUCAAGGAAGUUCGCUCACAUCUCCGGAUUCUUUCAAACGUUCUAGAUCUGGAAGAAUUCUUUUACCCAGGUUAGAGUUCUGGCGAAACCAAGUGGCAGUUUAUGCACAGGACCGUGGAGUCGCUGGAGUCCAGGAAGGCCCAAGUUUGAUUUUAGAUGAUGGUUUGUCUCCUUAAAUUUUCUAAUGCGAAUAUAUGUUACUUUAGCUACUGUUCCCAAAAGGUCGGACGAAAUGGUUUUUUAAUGACACUGUUGUAGUGAUGCUUAUUUUGCAUAUUGACCUAUCGACCUUCCUCUAAUCAUUCAAGCACAAAAAGACUUCACCAUUCCUGUGAGAAAUAGGAUUUUCUUUUUGUUUUUAUUCCCAGUCCAACAGCUCUUCCAGGCCCUGGGUAAAAUUGUCUUCAGUAUCAGAUCAAAUGGAUAAUGUCAUUUGAAGAAUGGAUAGAAAUGCAUGGUGUCAGCUUCGUAAGCAAUUCAUCUGGAUUAAAACAGCAGGACAUAGAGACUGAGCCUGCAUCAGUGUAAGCAAUUCUUGCAUGAAAAUCAACUUAGUUCUUUUGCAAUGAUUUUGCAGAUUAGAACAUACCUAAGCAGGUGGAGUUUUUUCCUAUUUCUUGACGCUCGUGAACAAGCUGUACAUGUGACGUACCAGAAUUGCUUUUCUUCAAGUUUGAUGCGCUAACCAAACCGGUGACUCCGUCUUUUGGGGCUUUUUUUUUUCUGAACGAUGCUGUCUUUUGAGUCAAUACUGAUGCAGAGAAUCAAACCUGUGCACUUUAAUUUGUUAGGCUUUCUUGCUUUUGAUUAUUAUUGUCGGGACGACCUUUAAUUUGAAAUUGACAUUUUGGGACGGAAGGGUUGCAGGGUUAAAGUCUUGGUUUUGGGGUAGCCAAGCAUGAAGAACCGUUGUGAACGUACUUUAU